AAAAUGUUUUCCUUUUUUUUCUGAAAGCGGUUUGGUGGUUUGCAUUUUUUUUGCAUUAAAGUCGAAUACGAUGGACAAAAGAAACAGUAAACGUGAGCUGUUCCACUCGCAUGUUCUUGGGUUUGAUAAAUUACUUCUGCCAUAUUAUUAAAAGACAUGCUGCGUUGUCAAAACUGUUGUUAAAAUGUGCUCCAGAGAACUUCCCUGUCACGUAUCACACAGAAGACAUGUCUCGUGGACCAAUCUCCCAAUCUCACUUUAUACAAUUACAAUGAACUGGAUUUCUAGUUCUCGCAU